CUACGGGACGCACCAGUGGGGAAUAUUGCACAAUGGACGAAAGUCUGAUGCAGCAACGCCGCGUGGAGGAUGACACAUUUCGGUGCGUAAACUCCUUUUAUAUAGGAAGAUAAUGACGGUACUAUAUGAAUAAGCACCGGCUAACUCCGUGCCAGCAGCCGCGGUAAUACGGAGGGUGCAAGCGUUACUCGGAAUCACUGGGCGUAAAGAGCGUGUAGGCGGGUUAAUAAGUUGGAAGUGAAGUCCUAUGGCUCAACCAUAGAACUGCUUCCAAAACUGUUAACCUAGAAUAUGGGAGAGGUAGAUGGAAUUUCUGGUGUAGGGGUAAAAUCCGUAGAGAUCAGAAGGAAUACCGAUUGCGAAGGCGAUCUACUGGAACAUUAUUGACGCUGAGACGCGAAAGCGUGGGGAGCAAACAGGAUUAGAUACCCUCGUAGUC
rnacentral:rRNA from 1 species